rnacentral:rRNA from 1 species
AAAUUGAAGAGUUUGAUCAUGGCUCAGAUUGAACGCUGGCGGCAGGCCUAACACAUGCAAGUCGAGCGGUAGCACAGAGAGCUUGCUCUCGGGUGACGAGCGGCGGACGGGUGAGUAAUGUCUGGGAAACUGCCUGAUGGAGGGGGAUAACUACUGGAAACGGUAGCUAAUACCGCAUAAUGUCGCAAGACCAAAGUGGGGGACCUUCGGGCCUCAUGCCAUCAGAUGUGCCCAGAUGGGAUUAGCUAGUAGGUGGGGUAAUGGCUCACCUAGGCGACGAUCCCUAGCUGGUCUGAGAGGAUGACCAGCCACACUGGAACUGAGACACGGUCCAGACUCCUACGGGAGGCAGCAGUGGGGAAUAUUGCACAAUGGGCGCAAGCCUGAUGCAGCCAUGCCGCGUGUGUGAAGAAGGCCUUCGGGUUGUAAAGCACUUUCAGCGGGGAGGAAGGCGGUGAGGUUAAUAACCUCACCGAUUGACGUUACCCGCAGAAGAAGCACCGGCUAACUCCGUGCCAGCAGCCGCGGUAAUACGGAGGGUGCAAGCGUUAAUCGGAAUUACUGGGCGUAAAGCGCACGCAGGCGGUCUGUCAAGUCGGAUGUGAAAUCCCCGGGCUUAACCUGGGAACUGCAUUCGAAACUGGCAGGCUAGAGUCUUGUAGAGGGGGGUAGAAUUCCAGGUGUAGCGGUGAAAUGCGUAGAGAUCUGGAGGAAUACCGGUGGCGAAGGCGGCCCCCUGGACAAAGACUGACGCUCAGGUGCGAAAGCGUGGGGAGCAAACAGGAUUAGAUACCCUGGUAGUCCACGCCGUAAACGAUGUCGAUUUGGAGGUUGUGCCCUUGAGGCGUGGCUUCCGGAGCUAACGCGUUAAAUCGACCGCCUGGGGAGUACGGCCGCAAGGUUAAAACUCAAAUGAAUUGACGGGGGCCCGCACAAGCGGUGGAGCAUGUGGUUUAAUUCGAUGCAACGCGAAGAACCUUACCUGGUCUUGACAUCCACAGAACUUUCCAGAGAUGGAUUGGUGCCUUCGGGAACUGUGAGACAGGUGCUGCAUGGCUGUCGUCAGCUCGUGUUGUGAAAUGUUGGGUUAAGUCCCGCAACGAGCGCAACCCUUAUCCUUUGUUGCCAGCGGUCCGGCCGGGAACUCAAAGGAGACUGCCAGUGAUAAACUGGAGGAAGGUGGGGAUGACGUCAAGUCAUCAUGGCCCUUACGACCAGGGCUACACACGUGCUACAAUGGCAUAUACAAAGAGAAGCGACCUCGCGAGAGCAAGCGGACCUCAUAAAGUAUGUCGUAGUCCGGAUUGGAGUCUGCAACUCGACUCCAUGAAGUCGGAAUCGCUAGUAAUCGUAGAUCAGAAUGCUACGGUGAAUACGUUCCCGGGCCUUGUACACACCGCCCGUCACACCAUGGGAGUGGGUUGCAAAAGAAGUAGGUAGCUUAACCUUCGGGAGGGCGCUUACCACUUUGUGAUUCAUGACUGGGGUGAAGUCGUAACAAGGUAACCGUAGGGGAACCUGCGGUUGGAUCACCUCCUUACCUUAAAGAA